ensembl:lncRNA
AGUGAAUGGGUGCCAUCUGAAUGAGAGUUCAGACAGCUGAUAAAAACAUCACAGUAAUCCACAAGUAAUCCACACCUCUCCAGUCCAUCAGUUAAUGCCUUGUGAAGCAAAAAGCCACAUGAUUGUAAUAAAUACACAGUUAAGACAAUUUUAACUUUAAACCAUUGCUUCUAGCUAAAAUUCAUGUCUAUAAUCCAUAUUGACACUUUCUCUUGUGAAAAAGUCUGAAUCAGGAGAGAAAUAUGCACAGAUCAAGCACCGUUUACAAGCAAAAACAGUCCAAAACUGUUCUAACCCAAUAUGUCAGUGGAUUUUGAUGUGAGAGGACAACAGGGGAUGGACUUUUCACUGAAAGAAGUAUUAUUAUGGAUUGUGGACUUUUGUCUAUUUUUGCCAGAAUUGACAGUUUAAAGUUAAAACACCUCAAUGAUAGACUUGUUUGUUACAAACAUGCAGCUUUUCACGUCAGAAGAUGUUAACUGAUGGAUAAUAGAUUAUUUUAAUGUUUUAUCAGCUGUUUUGGACUCCAGCGGCACCCAUUCACUGCAGAGGAUCCACUGCCAAGGAGCCCUAUAAUUUCAUGGCGUGUUAGGACAUCGGCAGGAGACGUCUCUGGCGGGUGUUUGGCUGGAGGGCCUCGGAGCCUGAUAUCACACGCUGAAUGAUAACUCUCAGAGAACCGCUUGCCUCUGCUCCAAAAAAAAAAAAAAAAACUCCUGCUGAUCACACGCUGCUGCCCCAGCAAAGGGAAUAGCCUGGAACAAGAGAGAUAAAAGAGAUCCUUCCUGGAGCCGCAUGGAGCACCUCUCAUCUUCAGGUGUGACACAGUGUCGCCCACUUUGCCCCAGGCCCCUAAUCUCACCCCAAAUCCCACCACCACGGUAAGCGGCAUCGCCAUCUGUCUCUAUGGUAACCUGAGAGAGUCCCGUGAGAGGGGUGACGGAUGCCUGGCACACGCACACAUUGCCAACUCACCAGCAUGGCACGCAGCGACCUGCCAUAUGGUGCCACCCCAUAUAUCUAGCGACAGAAGCAGAGGAAGACCUGCAUGUCCAUCCAUGCUGAUAUAGCUCUGGAAUUACGACAGCAGUGUGAACGACUAGUUGCCGCAAUAUGGCUCUAAAAGAUUCAUUAGCGCACUAGGCUUUCC